AAUAGAUACCCUGGUAGUCCACGCCGUAAACGAUGGAUACUAGCUGUUUGGUAGUAAUACUGAGUGGCUAAGCGAAAGUGAUAAGUAUCCCACCUGGGGAGUACGGGCGCAAGCCUGAAACUCAAAGGAAUUGACGGGGGCCCGCACAAGCGGUGGAGCAUGUGGUUUAAUUCGAUGAUACGCGAGGAACCUUACCAGGGCUUAAAUGUAGUUUGACGUUAUUGGAAACAGUAAUUUCUUCGGACAAAUUACAAGGUGCUGCAUGGUUGUCGUCAGCUCGUGCCGUGAGGUGUCAGGUUAAGUCCUAUAACGAGCGCAACCCCUGUUGUUAGUUGCCAGCGAGUAAUGUCGGGAACUCUAGCAAGACUGCCAGUGUAAACUGCGAGGAAGUGGGGAUGACGUCAAAUCAUCGCGGCCCUUACGUCCUGGGCCACACACGUGCUACAAUGGCCGGUACAGAGAGCAGCCACUAUGCGAAAUGGAGCGAAUCUAUAAAGCCGGUCACAGUUCGGAUCGGAGU
rnacentral:rRNA from 1 species